UUCCUUAAUUAAACCAAACCCUAGGAUCUCUCAUUAAAUCCAUCUUCCCUUCUCCUCUCGCAACCAAACGUGUUUCAGAGGAAAUCAUGGUCACCACUUCGUGAAAUCAAUGCCGCACCAGCUCAUCCUUCUCCACCUUGUAUACAUAUAUAUAGCAGAGUCAAGCCUUUCAAUUCCUCUGGAAACCACACGAAGAGAAGAAAGGAAGCAAAAGUGGUGAUUGCUCGAGGAAGAGGAGGAGGAAAACGUCAACAGGAUCAUCAUCAUUUGCGUACAUCACCAUCAAGAAGAAAGAGAAAGGCCAUCAAGGGAGUUGCUACCCGAAGCCAAAGAAGGAACCCUACCCCUUUUCCUUUAUGAUUUCCUUAGUGUUCUUCUUGUUGGAGUAACUGAAUUCCCCAAGAACUGCCACCUUCAAGGGGUUCCUGAUUCAAGAAAACAAGAGAGCAAGAAUUGUGUUCUUGAGCAUCAAAAGAGAUGGAGGAUCUCGACUUGUCUGCCACCACUAGAGUUCUAUUCAGAGAGGUACCAGAGGAGCUUGUGUUUUCGGACCCUAUAGGAGUUGCUCGAGACUAGUCCUGAGCUGAUGGUUGCAGACUUGUGCCUCAGUAAUAGAAAGAAUGUACAAUAGAUGAUAUUCGUUCCUUAGACUUUGCUUUCCCUCACUUCUGUAGCAUUUUUUAGGGAUAGGACUUGAUAUUUUCUUUUCUUUUAGUCCAGGUACCAGCUUAGGGGUUUUCUAUAUGAACCAGGUAUCUGGGAAGUUAUCAAUUGUAUGUAUGUCUAUGUAUAUAUCUAUCUAUGCCAAGUUUGUAUGAACUGACCUGAGAUGUAUAUAUGCAUGAGAGUUUUCUGUAAUCUCGUUACUAAUUUAAUU